rnacentral:misc_RNA from 1 species
UUUCCGUAGGUGAACCUGCGGAAGGAUUAUUAAUGAAUAUUCGAGGUGCGAGGGCUGUCGCUGACCCGAAAGGUCGUGCACGCACGAUCGCUCACACACGCUUCCCUCCCAUCCCCAUUUGCACCACCGCGUGCGUCUCCCUCUGGCUUGGUCGGUGGGGGGCUUACGUUUUCACACAAUCUAUGUAUUCAGUGUAGAAUGUAUUUUUUGUUUUUGCGAUCACGCAAUCAAUACAACUUCCUACAACGGCUCUCUUGUCUCCUGCAUCGAUGAAGAAGA